GUGCUCGCUUCAGCAGCACAUAUACUAAAAUUGGAACGAUACAGAGAUUAGCAUGGCCCCUGCGCAAGGAAAAACAUGGGACCCCAAUAUAGGAAUUCAUGGUAU